GUCGGGUACCAUUGCUAGAUGGUCACUUCGAUUAGUACAGGAAUUGGUUCCUGUGCUAUCGGCUUAGGUUCGAACCUACGGGGUCACACACAUUAGAGGUUCUUAUCUGAUCUGAUGGCUGAUGUAGAAUCUUACAUGUUUGGAACUCAGUGAUCGAGAAUCAGGAUUCUCUGAUCAUGAGUUCCACACAUUAUGGGUACUGGGGUCAAGAGUCCCACUGGUUGGGAUUUUUCGAUCAGGUUUACAUAUCGAUGAAUUCUGAUGCCUGAUUGUCCAUCGGAUUUGGACUCAGUAUUUAUGAG
rnacentral:lncRNA from 1 species